GAUGAAGAACGUAGCGAAAUGCGAAAAGUAAUGUGAAUUGCAGAAUUCAGUGAAUCAUCGAAUCUUUGAACGCACAUUGCGCCCUCUGGUAUUCCGGGGGGCAUGCCUGUUCGAGCGUCAUUACAACCCUCAAGCUUUGCUUGGUAUUGGACAUUGCCAGUUUCUGGCAGGUCUUAAAAUCAGUGGCGGUGCCAUUUGGCUUCAAGCGUAGUAAUUCUUCUCGCUUUGGAGAUCCAAGUGGUUACUUGCCAAUAACCCCCAAUUUUUUCAGGUUGACCUCGGAUCAGGUAGGGAUACCCGCUGAACUUAAGCAUAUCAAUAAGCGGAGGA
rnacentral:misc_RNA from 1 species